UCUCCCAAGAGUUCAGUACAGUGCUCUGCACACAGUAAAGGCUCAAUAAAUACCAUUGAUUAGAAAAUGUGAAUGAGACCAACGCUGCCCUCCCGGGACAAGCUAGUAAGCAGGGAUGAGGACAUAGAGGUAUAAAUAUUUGCCCAAGGUCAUGCAGCCGUCCACAGAAGCACUCAGUUAUUGACCAGAGAGACGGAAAUCCAGAAAUAAAAACGGAGAUGAAGAGAAAAGUGCUUUGCACACAGCAAGCGCAGGGGCCGCCCAACUUCCCUCUGCCCGUAAUCAGUGGCCUUUUCUUCGGCCGGUUGUCGGAGCGGCGGGCUGUGGCGCCACCUUCCGAGAAAAUCUCCGAAAGAAACUUUCACAGCUCGUCUGUCGAUGGGGAACGCCGAUGUCUCGAAAAGAAUAUUCAUCCGAAAUUCCCAUUUAUCAUAUAGGAUGUGCGGGGAUGUCCCUCAUCGAUUAUUGACUUGAACUUUAUAUCUGAUAGUCGCCCCACUCCCAACCCCACAGCACUUAGGUACAUAUCUUUAUAUAUUGUAAAGAUGUUACAUAUUCGUAUUAAUGUCAGUCUGUCGUUAUGGGCUGGGAACAUGUCUGCUAAUUCUGUUGUGUUACACUCUCCCAAGCGCUUGGUACAGUGCUGUGCACAUAGUAAGGGCUCAAUAGAUAUCAUUGAUUGAUCAUUGAUUAUAAAAUGGAGGGUUUGAUCAGUUCGCAGAUCGGCGUGGGGAUGGGAGCCUGGACUGGAGCGCAAGGAAACCCUGGUCCCUUCCCCACCAACGCCCGACAGUCUCCUACAGACCGGACCCCAUCUCCAGGUCAGCUCACUCUUUAACCUCCGGUUCCACUGAGGAGCAGCUCAACCUAGUGGAUAGGCCACGGGCCUGGGAGUCAGAAGGAUCUGGGUUCUAACUCUGCCUUCACCACUUGUCUGCUGUGUGAC